CAAUAGCGUAUAUUUAAGUUGUUGCAGUUAAAAAGCUCGUAGUUGGAUUUCGGAUGGGAUUUGCCGGUCCGUCGUUACGAUGUGCACUGGCCAGUCCUAUCUUGUUGUCGGGGACUAGCUCCUUGGAUUCACUUCCUGGGACUAGGAGCUGACGAGGUUACUUUGAGUAAAUUAGAGUGUUCAAAGCAAGCCUACGCUCUGAAUACAUUAGCAUGGAAUAACACGAUAGGACUCUGGCUUAUCUUGUUGGUCUGUGAGACCAGAGUAAUGAUUAAGAGGGACAGUCGGGGACAUUCGUAUUCCAUUGUCAGAGGUGAAAUUCUUGGAUUUAUGAAAGACGAACUUCUGCGAANGNAUUUGUNAAGGAUGUUUNCAUUA
rnacentral:rRNA from 1 species